UCCCGUCUUUCCCCAGUCUACUAUACGUUAUAUAGUAGGUUGGGGGAAGAUGGGACAC
rnacentral:miRNA from 1 species